rnacentral:rRNA from 1 species
GACGAACGCUGGCGGUGUGCUUAACACAUGCAAGUCGAACGGAAAGGCCCUGCUUGCAGGGUACUCGAGUGGCGAACGGGUGAGUAACACGUGGGUGAUCUGCCCUGCACUUCGGGAUAAGCCUGGGAAACUGGGUCUAAUACCGGAUAGGAGCCAUUUUUAGUGUGAUGGUUGGAAAGUUUUUUCGGUGUAGGAUGAGCUCGCGGCCUAUCAGCUUGUUGGUGGGGUAAUGGCCUACCAAGGCGGCGACGGGUAGCCGGCCUGAGAGGGUGGACGGCCACAUUGGGACUGAGAUACGGCCCAGACUCCUACGGGAGGCAGCAGUGGGGAAUAUUGCACAAUGGGCGCAAGCCUGAUGCAGCGACGCCGCGUGGGGGAUGACGGCCUUCGGGUUGUAAACUCCUUUCGCUGGGGACGAAGCUUUUUGUGACGGUACCUAGAUAAGAAGCACCGGCUAACUACGUG